rnacentral:snRNA from 1 species
AUACCUUCUCGGCCUCAUGGCUAAGAUCAAGUGUAGUAUCUGUUCUAAUCAGUGUGAAAACUGAUUUCUGACUAAUAAGUUAGAUUUAUUUUCACAUUUAUUUUUAAUAAUGAUCGAAUCAUAUCGCAGCUUGCUGCCAUCAUGACUUGAUCUGGUUUCCAAGGGCUUACACCCUGACCCUUGUGAAGCCGACCUCUU